AUGGCAGAUGCUCAAACGAAGAGUAACCACAAAACCAGUGUCUUAGAGGGAGGUGGAGAUGACAGAAUUGUUCCAAAGACGCAAGGUUUCUGGGUGCUGUAUCAAGGCUGCUGGCUGAGACCCUCGGCGCAGUUCAAGGCGCGCCCCGAUGACAUCCUCCUCGUUACGUACCCAAAGUGCGGCACCACCUGGCUCAAGGCCCUCGCCUUCACCAUCACCAACCUCUUUCGCCACACCGUCAUCGGCGCCGACCACCCGCUGCUCACCUACCACCCGCAGGACCUCGUGCCGUUUCUCGAGAUGCCCUACCGUCAGCUCCACCCUCUCGCCGAUCUCGAGAAGCUCCCCUCCCCAUGGCUCCUCUCCACCCACGUAUCAGUCACGCUGCUCCCUCCGUGCGUGGCGACCCUCGGUUCCCGAGUUGUGUACUUAUGCCGCAGUCCCAAGGAUGUGCUCGUGUCCUUAUGGCACUUCAUCUAUAACGUAAACACGAACUACUCCAUAGAUAAAGCAUUUGAGUUGUUUUCCAAGGGGGAAUCCUCGUAUGGGCCUAUAUGGGAACAUAAUCUCGGGUUCUGGAAGGAAAGCAUAUCAAACAACGAUAGAGUUCUCUUCUUGAAGUAUGAUGAGAUGAUGGCCCAACUGGUCGAGCAUGUCAAGAUGCUCGCCGAGUUCCUCCGUGUUCCCUUCAUGGAGGAGGAGGUGCGAUGUGGGGUCGUGGAGGAUGUCGUGCACUUGUGUAGCUUCGAUAAGCUCAAAAGCAUACCAGUCAACUCAUCCGGGGUAUCUGAUAGGAUUGGCGGGGUGCCGAUGGAGAAUUCUUCCUUCUUUAGGACUGCCAAGGUUGGUGACUGGGCAAACCACUUGACCAUUGAGAUGGCAGAGAAGCUGGAUGGCAUUGUUGAGAGAGAGGAUCUAAUCUUACAUUCU
rnacentral:rRNA from 1 species